CACGUAGGCACCAAGCGUUGUCCGGAUUUAUUGGGCGUAAAGAGCUCGUAGGCGGUUCAGUAAGUCGGGUGUGAAAACUUUGGGCUUAACCCAAAGCGUGCAUCCGAUACUGCUGUGACUUGAGUACGGUAGGGGAGCGGGGGAAUUCCUAGUGUAGCGGUGAAAUGCGCAGAUAUUAGGAGGAACACCGGUGGCGAAGGCGCCGCUCUGGGCCGAAACUGACGCUGAGGAGCGAAAGCAUGGGUAGCAAACAGG
rnacentral:rRNA from 1 species